GUUUGGGUGUAAAUGGGAUCAAGAAAGAUGAAGCCUUCUGCAGACCCUGGGCAGAGUCAGGUCUGAGAGCCGGAACCAGGACCCUCACCUUCCCUUCCUUUCCCUUCCUUCCCUAGAGACUCCUCAGUCCUUCCCCAUCAUGACCAUUGUUGGUGCUGUCCUUGGAGCUGUGCUGAUCUUAGGUUUUAUCAUUGGAGGUGUUAUGAUGUGGAUGAGGAAGAACACAGGUGGAGAAGGAGGCUAUGCUCCUGCUGCAGGCAGGGACAGUGCCUAGAACUCUGACUUUUACAUGGAGGAUUGAAAAGGAAAACAUCGGGGCCCAACCCAGUCCUGCACACCAGGACCCUGUGCCUGCACGGCAUUUGUUGCCUUCCACAGCCAACCUUCCUGUCCAGCAGCCAGGAGGGACAUCUCCAUCCUGUCACCUCCAUGCUGCCCUGAGCUGCAGCCCUUGACUUCCCACUGAAAAUAAGAACCUGAAUGUGAACUUGAUGUUCAAGUCCUUGACCUGAGAGACUAGCAGGUCAAGUUAAAGGAGAGGAUUCUGAAAGUGUGAUGGAAACUAUGAAUGGCAGCUUGGAGAA